AUUUUAACAUAAAAAUUCAAUGAAACAAGAACAAACCACGUUAAAGGAAAAACAAAAUACAAAGCAAGCAAGAUCGGAUUCUUGAUAUGAGCCUACUUAAUAUUCUUCUUAGGCUUCUACUACAAAUGAGAUAACAACAAAAUCAUGGUUGUUAUGAUUUUCCACACUCUUGGACCUCUAAUCUUCGAAACUUCUUUGACAUCAUCAACAUAUUCAGCUUCAACCUGCAACAAACUAACACUUCAAUGUUAAUCCUACUGUCUAUAGAAAAAUCAAACCUCUUUGGUUGCUCCAACAACACAUUCACAUUCAGGUCAUCUCCCCAAAAAUACGAAUUCCAUGUGUGAACCUGUGAUAUCACACAUUUAGUCAAAUAUUGUAUUACCAAAGCCCCCACGAAGCCACCUAUCCAAAGUAACAUUUUUUUUACUAUAAUUAGUUAUACUGAAAUCUAUAAAGUAAAGGUGAGUAUCAGAGAGUACAACACACCUCAUACUUGUAUCUUGCUCCGGAUUGCAUAUCAGUCU
rnacentral:lncRNA from 1 species